rnacentral:sRNA from 2 species
GCGUCCGUCCUGGGGGAGUAGUCUCCGGCGAGCGCCCUGCUCGCCUGGCAUGCGUCAACAUACUUGGUCCACAGACCAUGGUGCAUGCGACCUGCGCGGCAGCAU